CCCCUCUCAGGGUCACUGGAGAGUUUCCUGUACUCUAUCAGUCUUGACUAAGGGAGGGAAAGUCAAGCAGAGGCAUAUCCAUUCCAUUCCUAGCUCGGUCAGUGGCUAGUGAGGGGAAGGCCAUCUGCUACAAGC